GGCUCGGAGAUGUGUAUAAGAGACAGCAGGCGGACAUUCCUGUACCACCGCGGAGCGUUACUACGACGGGGUGACGGAGAAGGGUAGCCGGGCGGGGUUCUGGACGUCCCCGUGAAAGCGCGUAGGCCGCAGGGCAGGCAAAUCCGCCCUGCAGCGAGGCCGAGACGUUAGACGAAGCUUCAUGUGAAGCCGGCGAGCCCAUGCUUCCGAGAAAAACCUCUAAGGAGCGAGGCGGUGCCCGUACCAAAACCGACACAGGUAGGCGGGUAGAGCAUACCAAGGCGAUCGGGAGAACCAUGGUUAAGGAACUCGGCAUACUGACUCCGUAACUUCGGGAGAAGGAGUGCCCCCGCCUGUGAGGUCCCACGCGGACGGAGCGGGAGGGGGUCGCAGCGAAACGGCCCAAGCGACUGUUUACCAAAAACACAGGACUCUGCAAAGCCGCAAGGCGACGUAUAGGGUCUGACGCCUGCCCGGUGCCGGAAGGUCACGCGGAGGAGUUAGCCGAUUCGGCGAAGCCCCGAAGCCAAGCCCCGGUAAACGGCGGCCGUAACUAUAACGGUCCUAAGGUAGCGAAAUUCCUUGUCGGGUAAGUUCCGACCUGCACGAAAGGCGCAACGACUUGGGCGCUGUCUCGACCAUGGACCCGGUGAAAUUGCACUGGUCGUGAAGAUGCGACUUACCCGCGGAAGGACGGAAAGACCCCGUGAACCUUCACUGCAGCUUGGCAUUGGCCGCUGGUCCCGCGUGUAGAGGAUAGGCAGGAGGCAUCGAUCCGGAGGCGCCAGCCCCCGGGGAGCCGCCCUUGGAAUACUGCCCUCGCGCGACCGGCGUCCUAACCCGAGGCCGUCAACCGGCUCGGGGACCGUGCCAGGCGGGCAGUUUGACUGGGGCGGUCGCCUCCUAAAGGGUAACGGAGGCGCGCGAAGGUCCGCUCGGGACGGUCGGCAACCGUCCUUUUGAAUGCAAGAGUACAAGCGGGCUUGACUGCGAGGCCCACAAGCCGAGCAGGUGCGAAAGCAGGCUCUAGUGAUCCGGCGGCCCCGAGUGGGUGGGCCGUCGCUCAACGGAUAAAAGGUACUCCGGGGAUAACAGGCUGAUCUUGCCCA
rnacentral:rRNA from 1 species